AUUCAACUGACGAGUCUCAAAUAGGACGAAACGCGUGCUCUUGAU
rnacentral:hammerhead_ribozyme from 1 species